rnacentral:rRNA from 1 species
UUUUAUGGAGAGUUUGAUCCUGGCUCAGGAUGAACGCUGGCGGCGUGCCUAAUACAUGCAAGUCGAGCGAACGGACGAGAAGCUUGCUUCUCUGAUGUUAGCGGCGGACGGGUGAGUAACACGUGGAUAACCUACCUAUAAGACUGGGAUAACUUCGGGAAACCGGAGCUAAUACCGGAUAAUAUUUUGAACCGCAUGGUUCAAAAGUGAAAGACGGUCUUGCUGUCACUUAUAGAUGGAUCCGCGCUGCAUUAGCUAGUUGGUAAGGUAACGGCUUACCAAGGCAACGAUGCAUAGCCGACCUGAGAGGGUGAUCGGCCACACUGGAACUGAGACACGGUCCAGACUCCUACG